rnacentral:rRNA from 1 species
UACGGGGGGGGCGAGCGUUGUUCGGAAUCACUGGGCGUAAAGAGCUCGUAGGCGGUGUGUCGCGUCGGCCGUGAAAACCUGCAGCUUAACUGUGGGCUUGCGGUCGAUACGGGCAUCACUGGAGUUCGGCAGGGGAGACUGGAAUUCCUGGUGUAGCGGUGAAAUGCGCAGAUAUCAGGAGGAACACCGGUGGCGAAGGCGGGUCUCUGGGCAGAUACUGACGCUGAGGAGCGAAAGCGUGGGGAGCGAACAGG